rnacentral:tRNA from 1 species
GCGAGAGUGGUGAAACUGGUAGACACGCCAGACUUAGGAUCUGGUGCCUGAGGCAUAAGGGUUCAAGUCCCUUCUCUCGCA